rnacentral:piRNA from 1 species
UUCACCAAGCAGCCGGCCUUUAGUAACAUU